AUUGAACGCUGGCGGCAUGCCUUACACAUGCAAGUCGAACGGCAGCACGGGAGCAAUCCUGGUGGCGAGUGGCGAACGGGUGAGUAAUAUAUCGGAACGUGCCCAGUAGUGGGGGAUAACUGCUCGAAAGAGCAGCUAAUACAGCAAACGACCCGAGGGCGAAAGGGGGGGAUCGCAAGACCUCUCGCCAUUGGAGCGGCCGAUAUCAGAUUAGCUAGUUGGUGGGGUAAAGGCCUACAAAGGCAACGAUCGGUAGUUGGUAUGUGAGGACGACCAGCGACUCUGGGACGGAGACACAGCCCUGACUCCUACGGGAGGCAGUAGUGAGGAAUGUUGGAAAAUGGGCGCAAGACUGAUCCAGCAAUGCAGCGUGCAGGAAGAAGGCCUGCGGGUUAUAAACUGCUUUUGUCAGGGAAGAAAUCCUCUAGGUUAAUACCCUUGGGGGGAUGACGGUACCUGAAGAAUAAGCACCGGCUAACUACGUGCCAGCAGCCGCCGCAGUAA
rnacentral:rRNA from 1 species